rnacentral:rRNA from 1 species
UAGGGAAUAUUGCAAAAUGGGCGAAAGCCCGAUGCAGCAACGCCGCGUGGGCGAUGAAGGCCUUCGGGUCGUAAAGCCCUUUUUGAGGGGAUGAGGAGGGACAGUACCCUCAGAAUAAGCCUCGGCUAACUACGUGCCAGCAGCCGCGGUAAAACGUAGGAGGCGAGCGUUAUCCGGAUUUACUGGGCGUAAAGCGCGUGCAGGCGGAUUGGAGAGUUGGAUGUGAAAGCUCCCGGCUUAACUGGGAGAGGUCGUUCAAUACUUCCAGUCUUGAGUGCAGUAGAGGGAAGUGGAAUUCCGGGUGUAGUGGUGAAAUGCGUAGAUAUCCGGAGGAACACCAGUGGCGAAAGCGGCUUCCUGGACUGUAACUGACGCUCAGACGCGAAAGCUAGGGUAGCAAACG